UAGGGAAUCUUCCACAAUGGACGCAAGUCUGAUGGAGCAACGCCGCGUGAGUGAAGAAGGUCUUCGGAUCGUAAAGCUCUGUUGUUGGUGAAGAAGGAUAGAGGCAGUAACUGGUCUUUAUUUGACGGUAAUCAACCAGAAAGUCACGGCUAACUACGUGCCAGCAGCCGCGGUAAUACGUAGGUGGCAAGCGUUGUCCGGAUUUAUUGGGCGUAAAGCGAGCGCAGGCGGAAUGAUAAGUCUGAUGUGAAAGCCCACGGCUCAACCGUGGAACUGCAUCGGAAACUGUCAUUCUUGAGUGCAGAAGAGGAGAGUGGAACUCCAUGUGUAGCGGUGGAAUGCGUAGAUAUAUGGAAGAACACCAGUGGCGAAGGCGGCUCUCUGGUCUGCAACUGACGCUGAGGCUCGAAAGCAUGGGUAGCGAACAGGAUUAGAUACCCUGGUAGUCCAUGCCGUAAACGAUGAGCGCUAGGUGUUGGGGACUUUCCGGUCCUCAGUGCCGCAGCAAAACGC
rnacentral:rRNA from 1 species